CGUCCACCACGUGUUAGUGAUGCUACUACUUAUGCAGGUCAAAGACAAACUAAAGUUCAAGGACAAGCAAAAGGUCAAAAGGCGAAGUUAACUGCUAGAGUUAGAGGCUGAAUCAAACAAGAAAAAGUCGCAAGAUACCAUCCAGACAACAACAGACUAAUGUUGAGAGCAAACUGUAAUUGAAGAUCUGACAAUUUAGUGUUUGUGUUUGUCUUCCUAGUGAUUUUGAAUCUUGCUCUCUUAACAUAAAACUUUUUUUU